rnacentral:piRNA from 1 species
UAAUAGCCAAAUGAAAAAUGA